UGGACCAAUGAUGACGACCGAUGGCAUAUGUGUCAUAUACAAUGAAUUCUACGCGUCUGGAACUCUGAGGUCCAA
ensembl:snoRNA